UACAGAGGUCUCAAGCGUUGUUCGGAAUCACUGGGCGUAAAGGGUGCGUAGGCCGCCGGGUAAGUCAGAGGUGAAAUCCCGGAGCUCAACUUCGGAAUUGCCUCCGAUACUGCCGUGCUUGAGGACUGGAGAGGAGUCUGGAAUUCACAGUGGAGCAGUGAAAUGCGUAGAUAUUGUGAGGAACACUAGUGGCGAAGGCGAGACUCUGGACAGUUCCUGACGCUGAGGCACGAAGGCCAGGGGAGCAAACGGG
rnacentral:rRNA from 1 species